CAGCAGCCGCGGGAAUACGAAGGGGGCUAGCGUUGUUCGGAUUUACUGGGCGUAAAGCGCACGUAGGCGGACUUUUAAGUCAGGGGUGAAAUCCCGGGGCUCAACCCCGGAACUGCCUUUGAUACUGGGAGUCUUGAGUUCGAGAGAGGUGAGUGGAAUUGCGAGUGUAGAGGUGAAAUUCGUAGAUAUUCGCAGGAACACCAGUGGCGAAGGCGGCUCACUGGCUCGAUACUGACGCUGAGGUGCGAAAGCGUGGGGAGCAAACAGGAUUAGAUACCCGGGUAGUCCCUGUCUCUUAUAC
rnacentral:rRNA from 1 species